rnacentral:rRNA from 1 species
UACAGAGGGUGCAAGCGUUAAUCGGAAUUACUGGGCGUAAAGCGUGCGCAGGCGGUUCGCUAAGGCCGAUGUGAAAUCCCCGGGCUUAACCUGGGAACUGCAUUGGUGACUGGCGGGCUAGAGUAUGGCAGAGGGGGGUAGAAUUCUACGUGUAGCAGUGAAAUGCGUAGAGAUGUGGAGGAAUACCGAUGGCGAAGGCAGCCCCCUGGGCCAAUACUGACGCUGAGGAGCGAAAGCCAGGGGAGCAAACGGG